GACGAAGGUGGCAAGCGUUAUUCGGAUUUACUGGGCAUAAAGCGCGCGUAGGCGGCUUGGCAAGUCGGGGGUGAAAGCCCGCAGCUCAACUGCGGAACUGCCUUCGAUACUGCCGGGCUUGAGGGCGGGAGGGGUGAUUGGAACUCCAGGUGUAGCGGUGAAAUGCGUAGAUAUCUGGAGGAACACCGGAGGCGAAGGCGAAUCACUGGACCGCUUCUGACGCUGAGGCGCGAAAGCGUGGGGAGCAAACAGG
rnacentral:rRNA from 1 species